GAUGAACGCUGGCGGCGUGCUUAACACAUGCAAGUCGAACGAAGCUACCCAAAGGAAGUUUUCGGAUGGAAUUUAGGUAGACUUAGUGGCGGACGGGUGAGUAACGCGUGGAUAACCUGCCUUAUACAGGGGGAUAACGGAGAGAAAUUUCCGCUAACACCGCAUAAGACCACAGCACCGCAUGGUGCAGGGGUAAAAUAUUUAUAGGUAUAAGAUGGAUCCGCGUCCGAUUAGCUAGUUGGUGAGGUAAAGGCCCACCAAGGCGACGAUCGGUAGCCGGCCUGAGAGGGUGAACGGCCACAUUGGGACUGAGACACGGCCCAAACUCCUACGGGAGGCAGCAGUGGGGAAUAUUGGACAAUGGGGGAAACCCUGAUCCAGCGACGCCGCGUGAGUGAAGAAGUAUUUCGGUAUGUAAAGCUCUAUCAGCAGGGAAGAAAAUGACGGUACCUGACUAAGAAGCCCCGGCUAACUACGUGCCAGCAGCCGCGGUAAUACGUAGGUGGCAAGCGUUGUCCGGAUUUAUUGGGCGUAAAGCGAGCGCAGGCGGUUCUUUAAGUCUGAUGUGAAAGCCCCCGGCUCAACCGGGGAGGGUCAUUGGAAACUGGAGAACUUGAGUGCAGAAGAGGAGAGUGGAACUCCACGUGUAGCGGUGAAAUGCAUAGAUAUGUGGAGGAAUACCGAAGGCGAAGGCAGCCCCUUGGGAAUGCUCGGACGCUCAGGUGCGAAAGCGUGAGGAGAAACAGGAAUAAGAUACUCUUUGUAGUUCAGGCGAUUCCGAGUGGGGGCUGCAGCGCGGGGGACCCACGGGCUCAGGAGGGAGCGGACGAGGGAGCUCGAGUCGAGCAAUAAGUAUAUAUAAAAGAUAU
rnacentral:rRNA from 1 species